rnacentral:rRNA from 1 species
AUUGAACGCUGGCGGCAGGCCUAACACAUGCAAGUCGAGCGGAUGAGGGGAGCUUGCCCCUGGAUCCAGCGCCGGACGGGUGAGCAAUGCCUAGGAACCUGCCUGGUAGUGGGGGAUAACGUCCGGAAACGGGUGCUAAUACCGCAUACGUCCUGAGGGAGAAAGUGGGGGAUCUUCGGACUUCACGCUAUCAGAUGAGCCUAGGUCGGAUUAGUUAGUUGGUGGGGUAAAGGCCUACCAAGGCGACGAUCCGUAACUGGUCUGAGAGGAGGAUCAGUCACACUAGAACUGAGACACGGCCCGGACUCCAACAGGAGGGGACGAAGGAGCAUAUUAUACGAUUGGAGGAAGGCUAGUCCAGCCAAGCCACGUGUGGGAAGGAGGUAUUCCGGUUGGGAAUCUCUUUAACUUGUGAGGGAGAAUAGUAAGUGAAUACCUUGCUGUCUUGACGUUACCAACAGAAUAAGCACCGGCUAACUUCGUG